GAUGAACGCUGGCGGCGUGCCUAAUACAUGCAAGUCGAACGCUUUGUCUUUAAUUGAUAUGAAGAGCUUGCUCUGAUUUGAUUUUAUCUGACAAAGAGUGGCGAACGGGUGAGUAACACGUUGGUAACCUACCUCUUAGCAGGGGAUAACAUUUGGAAACAAGUGCUAAUACCGUAUAACACUAACAACCGCAUGGUUGUUAGUUGAAAGAUGGUUCUGCUAUCACUAAGAGAUGGACCCGCGGUGCAUUAGCUAGUUGGUAAGGUAAUGGCUUACCAAGGCGAUGAUGCGUAGCCGAGUUGAGAGACUGAUCGGCCACAAUGGGACUGAGACACGGCCUAUACUCCUACGGGAGGCAGCAGUAGGGAAUCUUCCACAAUGGGCGCAAGCCUGAUGGAGCAACGCCGCGUGUGUGAUGAAGGGUUUCGGCUCGUAAAACACUGUUAUAAGAGAAGAACGACAUUGAGAGUAACUGUUCAGUGUGUGACGGUAUCUUAUCAGAAAGGAACGGCUAAAUACGUG
rnacentral:rRNA from 1 species